AGGGAUUUUUUUCAGUUUUCCUCUCUGUUAUUUAAAGUUACAUUUUGGACCCCCUUUUUAACUUCUUUUUAUUUUUUCAGGUAAAAUGAAAGCAGAAAAAAAAUCUUCCUCUGGUAGGACAAGCAAUUGUGGCUGAAACUGGACAAAACACUGCAAAUCUUGAGUUGAUCUUUUUUAAAUCAUCUUGUUGAUCUUUUUUAAAUCAUCUUGGUGAGAACUCACAGUAAUUUUCAGAGACUGCAUCCUG
rnacentral:lncRNA from 1 species